UUAAGCUUUAGCUAUUCCAAGUAAAACUUUUGAUUUACCUUUUUUUAAUUUCUUUAUUUUUUAUUUAUGAUUCUGUGAUUUAAUAUUUUUUUUUUGAAUUUUGUAGUAAUUGAUGGAUUGAAGGAGAAAUUUGCUGAGGCGACGAGGCAAAACAAUGUUAAAGCUAUUGUUCUCACUUGCAAGGGAUGAAGGUUUUCCAAUGGUUUUGAAAUCAAAGUUUUCACGAAAGUUCAGAGAACCGAUCGGGAAUCCGAAGAUAAACGCGGAAAAGAGAAAGUAUCGAACUAGUUUCUGAACUUUUACAACUCCUGCAAAUUGGCCCAGGUAAGUUCAUAUGGCUGAAUUUUUAUGAUUAAUUGUUAAUGUGGAAAUGAUAUAAUGUAUCAAUCUGUAUAUUGUUGUUGAAUUAUGAUUAUGGUAAAAAUGAGAAUGAAAUGAGAUUGUUAGUUCAAAUUAAGGGAUACGCGAGAUUGAGUACAUACGUUC